CGAAUGGAAUCAUCGAAUGGACUCGAAUGGAAUAAUCAUUGAACGGAAUCGAAUGGAAUCAUCAUCGGAUGGAAAUGAAUGGAAUCAUCAUCGAAUGGAAUCGAAUAGAAUUAUGGAAUGAAAUCCAGUGUGAUCAUCAUCGAAUGGACCCGAAUGGAAUCAUCAUCCAACGGAAGCUAAUGGAAUCAACAUCGAAUGAAUCGAAUGGAAACACCAUCGAAUUGAAACGAAUGGAAUUAUCAUGAAAUUGAAAUGGAUGGACUCAUCAUCGAAUGGAUUCGAAUGGAAUCAUCGAAUAAAAUUGAUUGAAAUCAUCAUAGAAUGGAAUCGAAUGGAUUCAUUGAAUGGAAUCAGAUGGAAUCAUCGAAUGGACUGGAAUGGAAUCAUUGAAUGGACUCGAAAGGGAUCAUUAUUGAAUGGAAUUGAAUGGAAUCAUCGAAUGGUCUCGAUUGGAAUCAUUAUCAAAUGGAAUCGAAUGGAAUCACCGAAUAGAAUCGAAUGGAACAAUCAUCGAAUGGACUCAAAUGGAAUUAUCCUCCAAUGGAAUCGAAUGGAAUUAUCGAAUGCAAUC
rnacentral:lncRNA from 1 species